UAUUCUCAUAUUAUUUCUUGUGUUUCUAUCACUAGAAUUGAUAUUUUUCACUAAAAUAUUGGAAAAUCGUAUACACAUAUAGAAUUAUUUGUAUAAUCAAUUAUACUAAGUAUUCCACUUCCUUAAUCAUCGAUUUUAGAUUAUUCGUUGCUAUCAUUAUAAUAUCCUUGUAUUCCUAUAAUGUGUUAAAGUUACCAAGGCGUUAAUAAUUUGGUCAGCUUCAGAAGAAACACAAUUUGGAGUAACGUGAAAAUUUCAAAAUAUUGUCAACAAUUUCAAUUGGACUUUCUUUUGUGCUUUCCGAACAACUGUGUUGAUUACUGCGUUUUUUUUUCGAAAUUGUUAUGGUUUUUAAUCAGUUUAUACUGAUACUAUUUCGUACCACUUUUCCGGUAGGCAGAUUUUUGCGACACUUUUUUGGACAAACAAUGAAAUCAUAAUUCUUAAAUUAAGUUUUACUUAAUGUUAAUGGGAUAACUUUAUUCACUUCAAAAAUAUGUUCCCUCAGAUUACUUAACAGUUAUGGGUAUCUGUAACACAUUUCAUAUCGUAACAAAUAGUUAAUACUUUGCAAGCUUUGAACCGUAAUCUCUAGGUCAAGCUAAGUUUUGAUUCCAAAUUAAUCGUUAAUUAUCAGAUUACAUCAUCACUGGCAACCUUUCAAAUAUCUAUACUAUCUAUACCGUUGAGCAAUUGUUGUCAUACUUACUUAAUCUCUAGUUGUUAUAUUACCUAUGUUCUAUGACAAGAGGUACCAGUUUCGACAGUUAUUCAUCAAAUGAAAUUUCUAUGUAGUUAUCACAAACAAAAAUCUCUACUUACUAGUUAGCCUCUCCAGAUUAUCUCUUCAUUUUUGCACUUGUGCGUAGUGUUUCCUCUUAGUGCAACCUACUGUAAUGGCAAUUUUUGAUAGUAAACAGCAAAUAUUUCUCAAAGGUUAGCUGCAAAUAAACAUUAGCAUUCCACGUACUUAUACAUUGAAUGUAGUGCUCACAGGUAUUACUAGGAUACUUCGAAAAUUGUCUUAUAAUAUUAGCUCCUUCAAAAGAUAUGGAUGUCCAUGAAUAGUUGAAAAUGUGCAUUUCAUAGUCAUGGUAUUUUACGAAGUGGAUUUGUCUCAAAGGCACUCAAUGUAACACAUGUAACUUUUUUAGUUUUGUUUUUUCACUGCCUUUAGAAUUUUGUAUAAAAUGCAGACAUUUGAUGUACGAUCUCUCAUAUUACGUAAAAAGUAUGAGUUAUCAAACAGGAUGUAUGGAACUUAUGCGAUACAUACUUGUAACUGCAUAUCCCAUAAAACCCGAAAUAGAUUUUUUCUCAGAUACUGCAAUGGUAUGACAUGCAGUCAAUGUUGGGUGUUUAUUAUGUAGGGUAUUAUUUAUUACCUAUGCCUCCAAAGAAUUAAUAACUCAUAAGUUCAAACCUUUUUUUAUCCAAUACCCAAAAGUCUGUAUUUUAAUAUUUUAUAUCAAUUUUUCUUCAGGAACCAGCCGGAAGCAAUAGGUUUAUGCGGGAAUAGAUAUUUCUUAACUUGACUUUUUAAAAUUUAAUUUGACAGUGUUAAACUGCAUAUUUUAAGCAGAUUUUUUUGCCAAUUUCAAGCAUUACUUUCGUUCGAGUUAAUAGGUUCUCCGAAACAUUAAUUACUGAAUUCCUGACAGUUUCGACUAAUUUCCUAUCAAUUAAAAUAAGUUCUGCUUGGCUGCUGCCUGGGAAAACGUGUUGGGUUUGCGAUGCUUAGAUAUAGGUACAUUAUACAUUACAUGUAUAUGCAGGAUAUGCUGGUAAUAAGUCCACAUUAGCUUGGAAACUAAGAAGCCUGAAACCAUAUUUAAAACCAUUUUUCUAUUUUUAAGUUCCGAUUAGGUUAAAGGCAAUUUUAUCAAUAAGGAAUAUUUAAUAAUGUCCCAGAUGUCACGGUUUAUUGAUGAACUGCGAUUAAGUAAAGUUAUAGAUACAUUUUCGAAGAUUAAAUCUUGUGAUGGUAUUUAA